GUCCCAACAGCGAGUUGGAGGCCAGGAGUGGAGGUCCAACCUACAACUUCAAGUCAAAUGGAAGAAAGUAACACUCUGACUCCAAGACUUUGUUUUCAGACCUGUGAGCAGUGUCCCACCAAACUCUACAGACCUCAAAGUUGUCCCCAACCGGGGACAGAAUGUUAAGCAAACCAUGUGGUAUGUGUUCGAGAAGGUCUUCACACUGGACUUUGUAACCCAACUGAACUGGUGCGGGAGGGGGCAGAAGACUGUCAUCCAGUCAAUGCCACUAAAGGAUGCCAUUAUGUGUUCUGUUCUUAAAAACCCACGUUUGCCAGGAAUUACUGAGUUCGAUGUUGAAAGGGCGGGGACGGCAGCUGGAGGGUUGAGACCUGCGGAA